rnacentral:rRNA from 1 species
AUUGAACGCUGGCGGCAUGCUUUACACAUGCAAGUCGAACGGCAGCGCGGGCUUCGGCCUGGCGGCGAGUGGCGAACGGGUGAGUAAUGCAUCGGAACGUGCCCAGUAGUGGGGGAUAGCCCGGCGAAAGCCGGAUUAAUACCGCAUACGACCUGAGGGUGAAAGCGGGGGACCGAAAGGCCUCGCGCUAUUGGAGCGGCCGAUGUCGGAUUAGCUAGUUGGUGGGGUAAAGGCUUACCAAGGCGACGAUCCGUAGCUGGUCUGAGAGGACGACCAGCCACACUGGGACUGAGACACGGCCCAGACUCCUACGGGAGGCAGCAGUGGGGAAUUUUGGACAAUGGGGGCAACCCUGAUCCAGCCAUGCCGCGUGCGGGAAGAAGGCCUUCGGGUUGUAAACCGCUUUUGUUCGGGAAGAAAUCCUCUGGGCUAAUACCCCGGGGGGAUGACGGUACCGGAAGAAUAAGCACCGGCCAACUACGUG